rnacentral:rRNA from 1 species
UAGGGAAUAUUGGACAAUGGGCGAAAGCCUGAUCCAGCCAUGCCGCGUGAGUGAUGAAGGCCCUAGGGUUGUAAGGCUCUUUUGUGCGGGAAGAUAAUGACGGUACCGCAAGAAUAAGCCCCGGCUAACUUCGUGCCAGCAGCCGCGGUAAUACGAAGGGGGCUAGCGUUGCUCGGAAUCACUGGGCGUAAAGGGUGCGUAGGCGGGUUUCUAAGUCAGAGGUGAAAGCCUGGAGCUCAACUCCAGAACUGCCUUUGAUACUGGAAGUCUUGAGUUCGGGAGAGGUGAGUGGAACUGCGAGUGUAGAGGUGAAAUUCGUAGAUAUUCGCAAGAACACCAGUGGCGAAGGCGGCUCACUGGCCCGAUACUGACGCUGAGGCACGAAAGCGUGGGGAGCAAACA